UGGGGAAUUUUGCACAAUGGGGGAAACCCUGAUGCAGCGACGCCGCGUGAUUUAGAAGGCCUUCGGGUUGUAAAAAUCUUUUCUAUGGGAAGAAAAUGACAGUACCAUAGGAAUAAGGACCGGCUAAUUACGUGCCAGCAGCCGCGGUAAUACGUAAGGUCCGAGCGUUGUCCGGAAUCAUUGGGCGUAAAGGGUACGUAGGCGGGUAAGCAAGUUAGAAGUGAAAUACUAUAGCUCAACUAUAGUAAGCUUUUAAAACUGCUCAUCUUGAGGUAUGGAAGGGAAAGUGGAAUUCCUAGUGUAGCGGUGAAAUGCGCAGAUAUUAGGAAGAAUACCGGUGGCGAAGGCGACUUUCUGGCCAUAACCUGACGCUGAGGUACGAAAGCGUGGGUAGCAAACAGG
rnacentral:rRNA from 1 species